GAGAAAUCACAUCCAACACGAAAAACACACACUCACAGCCUGACACUUGUCGUAAAUCUUCCCCUGACAGCUCCCCUUAAUGGAGCGGUUUGACUGUUGCGCACACACAAAACGCACGAAACCCUCAUCAUCAUCAUCAUCAUCAUCAUCAUCACCAGCAGCGGCAGCAGCAGCGGCAGCCGGCUGCGGGGCGUUUGUUUCCAGGAGGUGCGGGACAGGCGGGGAAACGUGCACGCAAGUACACAAGACGGGAUGGAAGCAGCUGUAAGUGUGACACUGAUGUUAACUUGGCAACAGAAACUACACGAAGCAGCGCUGCGUGUCCUUGACACACACGGAGAAAAAAAAAAACCCACAGAAGGAGGCUGCGGUGCUGCGGGUCGGGCAGCCAGCAGCACCGCACAGUUACCACAACACCGACACACACACGCAACUGACACAGGAAGAGGCAAUAACACAAAUGAGACAAAUAUCCAAGCUGCUUGAAGACUUACCCGAGCUCUGUAUCCACAUCUGCUGGAUGACACGGGAGCGUCAGACGUCACACUGUGUUGCAUUCAGCAGGUGUGAGCGCGUGGAGGAGCAGGUAUUUUCAGUCUUGUGGACCCACCAGCCAACACGGUCCUGCCCGAGGCCGCUGCUGCCAGCACGACUCGACGUUUGCAUUCAUCCCAGAGGGGUCGCAGGUGACUCGACCCGUGACGAUGAUCCUGAGAGCCGAAUACGAUGUUGGAGAGGAAACUGUGAGCGAAGGAGACAGAAAUAGAGGACGGAGGGGAUGGAGGGCUCGGUGGUUCAGGUGUUUCCAUGCAGCUCGAUGUGUUUCUGCUCCUUCUUGUUUCUGUCGCUGCAAAACAAAGACUCAACACUUUUAAAACUCGACUGAGAUUAGAAAUAAAAAUCAAGACCUUGUUUUUGUUUCUU